AUCUAAACAAUCAAUAAGGACUUCCCCAGGUCUUGUUUUCAUCUGUCUGAAAUAAGCACAAAUGUGAGGUUUAUGACUUCGACUCCAUCUGCUGCCAAUCUAGAGAGGAGAGACAUAGGCACAGGACAGCCAGCAGUAACCCUGUUUUCCGAAUCCCAGCCCUAUGUCUCCUUCACUGCUGGACGCGGAGAGUGCAGCCUUGAUGGGCGCGCGCUGCAUAGGCUGCUAGCCAGGGCAAGGCCGAGGACCGCAGGGGAUCGUAGCUGCGGGGUCCCAGCGCGUCCAGAGACUCACUGCGAGGACACGUCGAAGCGCACGUCGCGGUCCUCCCACAACACGUCCAGCACAGACAUGGUGACCGAGGGAGCCCGCCGUUAAAAUCCACAGUGGCCGUCCUGUGGCGUCUUAUGGACACCAAGGCAACGCAUCGGCUUUGUCACGACAUCUACGGCGGGCGCCGAGGCCCAAGCUUCCACCAGGUACUGCGCUCUCUUUUUCCCAGCCCGUUUGCGUCAUUAGGUCAUUUUGAGGCGGGUGGCUGGAAAGGUGCUUCACUUCUGAACCACCUCUCUGGUCUCUGCACAGAACUUUAGCCAUUUUAGCUUUCCUACUGUUCACCAGAUUACAUUCCUGGUUUGAUGCGGCUCUGGCCUUGCCUACCUCGCAUACCCUGAUGGCCUGGGUCUCUGACUACAUUCCAGACCGAGGCUCAGAAUCUGUUGAGGUCCUACUCCACCUGGUUGGGACCAUUGCUUCCCCAGAUUCAUACACUGCCAGCCCUUACGUCCUGUUUCACAAGUCAGCGCUGGGGUCCCUCUGUUGUGAGCAAACAAAACACGGACACCUCAUCCUUAAAGUUCACCGCUUUGAACAAUGCGCAGCACAGAGUAAGAACAGGAUAAAUACACCCCCCACAACCCCUACAUGGUCUCACUUUGUGGUCCAGAUGGGCCUCGGAAUGGAACAAUUUCAGUUUCCCUAGUACAUAAGCAUGCAUCUCUUUCUCCCCCAACAUCCUCAUCUCUCUUUUCUUCCUCCUUCCCCUCCUCCCCCUCCUCCCCCUCCUCCUCCUCCUCCUCCUCUUCCUCCUCCUCCUCCUCUUCUUUUUUUUUUUUUUUUUUUUUUUUUUUUGACAUGGUCUCACUUUGUGGUCCAGAGGAGAUGGAACAACUUUAGUUUCCCUAGUAGUGAGAUUACAAGCAUGCAUCUUGCCUACUUUAUAAACACUUUUUAAACGAGUCAAAGUGUUCUCUUUUAGGACUUGACAAUUAUCAAUAAACAAGUAAAACCCUAAAUAAGUUACUGCUUCACAAAGAGUGGUCUGGGGUCUCCUGGGCAUACUCAGGAGCCUUUCAUGGUUACACGAGUAUAAUGAAAACAUUUGCCUUUUAAACUCCAUUGGGUCAUGGAUGCACAAUAUGUACAAUUGAGUAUGUAAGCAGAUAGAACACUCUACUGGCUGGCUGUUUUCUCCAAGACAGGGUUUCACGUGUGGGCCGCACUGGCCUGACACUUACUAUGCAGAGCAGAGUGGCUUUGAACUCACGUCAACUCUCCUUAACUCUAGAAUGCUGGAAUCAGAGAUGUGAGCCACUCUACCUGGCUACUUGUCUAACUUUAAUCUUCCUGCUCAGCAUUCUAAGAGUACAAGGAUUAGAGUGUGAACCACCGUGCUCACCUUAAGAGAGAGAGAGAGAGAGAGAGAGAGAGUAGGCAGGCCUCAUGGUCCUUGUGAUUCUGCCUUCAAAGUCCCAGACUCAUAGCCUUGUGCCACCAUGCUGGCUGCAGUUGCCCAUUGCUAAGCUAGACAUGAAAAAGUUGUGUAACGGGCUAGUUACAGGGCUCAGGGGUUAAGAGCAUCAGUUGCUCUUCCAGGGGAACUGGGUUUGGUUCCCAGCACCCACAUAGUGGCUCACAACUGUAACCCCAGUUCCAGGGGAUCUGGUUCCCUCUUCUGACCUCCACAGGCACCAGGCAUGUAUGUGGUACACAGACAACCCAUGCAAGCAAAACAUACAGUAAGGCCAAUUUUUCAAAGUUUUACAAGAACGCACACCAAUGUUAUUCUCACAGAUAUUUUAGAGAAUAUAUUCAACAGGUUAUGUAUGUGGCUGGAAGUGAUGGCACAUAUCUUUAAUUAAAGCACUUGGGAGGCAGAGGCAGACAAAUACUUUGUGAGUUUGAAGCUUACCUGGUCUACAUAGUAAGAGUUCUUGGCUAGGCUAGGCAGUCUUACUAGUAAGACUCUAUCUCAAAACAAUUCUUUUUUUACUCUGUUUAAUCAUGUGAGUCAAUAUUGAUUGAACUAUAUUUAUUCUAGUUUUAUUGAAGUGUAAAUGGCAUAUUGAAAAUAAUGUAUACAGCUCGGUGAAUUGGAACUCGAGUACUAGCGUGUGUUAUCGCCACCACAAUCCAGAUAAUAAAGUCCCAUUAUUUCUAA